rnacentral:rRNA from 1 species
AUUCCAGCUCCAAUAGCGUAUAUUAAAGUUGUUGCAGUUAAAAAGCUCGUAGUUGGAUUUCUGGCGGGAGCGGCCUGUCCUGCCCUUUGCGGGGUUGAGCACAAGCGCUGCAUCCGGCCAUCCUUGUGGAGAGCGUUUCUGGCAUUCAGUUGUCGGACUCGGGAUCCGCAUCGUUUACUGUGAAAAAAUUAGAGUGUUUAAAGCAGGCAUUUGCUUGAAUACAUUAGCAUGGAAUAAUAAGAUAGGACUUAGUCGUUAUUUUGUUGGUCUUGCACGUCUAGGUAAUGAUUAAUAGGGAUAGUUGGGGGUAUUCAUAUUUAAUUGUCAGAGGUGAAAUUCUUGGAUUUAUGAAAGAUGAACUUAUGCGAAAGCAUUUACCAUGGAUGUUUUCAUUG